rnacentral:rRNA from 1 species
CAGAGGGGGAUAACGUUUGGAAACGAACGCUAAUACCGCAUGAUAUUAUUGGGCAGCAUUGCCUGAUAAUCAAAGGAGCAAUCCGCUGAAAGAUGGGCUCGCGUCCGAUUAGGUAGUUGGCGGGGUAACGGCCCACCAAGCCGACGAUCGGUAGCCGGACUGAGAGGUUGAACGGCCACAUUGGGACUGAGACACGGCCCAGACUCCUACGGGAGGCAGCAGUGAGGGAUAUUGGUCAAUGGGGGAAACCCUGAACCAGCAACGCCGCGUGAGGGAAGACGGUUUUCGGAUUGUAAACCUCUGUCCUCUGUGAAGAUGAUGACGGUAGCAGAGGAGGAAGCUCCGGCUAACUACGUGCCAGCAGCCGCGGUAAUACGUAGGGAGCAAGCGUUGUCCGGAUUUACUGGGUGUAAAGGGUGCGUAGGCGGCUUUGCAAGUCAGAAGUGAAAUCUAUGGGCUUAACCCAUAAACUGCUUUUGAAACUGCAGGGCUUGAGUGAAGUAGAGGUAGGCGGAAUUCCCGGUGUAGCGGUGAAAUGCGUAGGGAUCGGGAGGGACACCAGUGGCGAAGGCGGCCUACUGGGCUUUAACUGACGCUGAGGCACGAAAGCGUGGGUAGCAAACAGGAUUAGAUACCCUGGUAGUCCACGCUGUAAACGAUGAUUACUAGGUGUGGGUGGACUGACCCCAUCCGUGCCGGAGU